AACGAACGCUGGCGGCAGGCCUAACACAUGCAAGUCGAGCGAUAUAGCGGCGGACGGGUUAGUAACGCGUGGGGAACGUGCCCCUUUACUACGGAAUAGCCUCUGGAAACGGAGAGUAAUACCGUAUGUGCCCUUCGGGGGAAAGAUUUAUCGGUAAAGGAUCGGCCCGCGUUAGAUUAGGUAGUUGGUGGGGUAAUGGCCUACCAAGCCUACGAUCUAUAGCUGGUUUGAGAGGAUGAUCAGCAACACUGGGACUGAGACACGGCCCAGACUCCUACGGGAGGCAGCAGU
rnacentral:rRNA from 1 species